GACGAACGCUGGCGGCGCGCUAAUACAUGCAAGUCGGGCGGAGUUUCCCGGCGGAAGCCUUCGGGUGGAAGCCGGGGGACUUAGCGGCGGACGGGUGAGUAACACGUAGGCAACCUGCCCAUAAGACCGGGAUAACAUCCGGAAACGGAUGCUAAGACCGGAUAAGCGCCCUUGUCGCAUGACGGGGGCGGGAAACACGGUGAAGAACUGUGGCUUAUGGAUGGGCCUGCGGCGCAUUAGCUAGUUGGUGAGGUAACGGCUCACCAAGGCGACGAUGCGUAGCCGACCUGAGAGGGUGACCGGCCACACUGGGACUGAGACACGGCCCAGACUCCUACGGGAGGCAGCAGUAGGGAAUCUUCCACAAUGGGCGCAAGCCUGAUGGAGCGACGCCGCGUGAGUGAGGAAGGUCUUCGGAUCGUAAAGCUCUGUUGCCAGGGAAGAAUAAGCGGAUGAGUAACUGCAUCCGUGAUGACGGUACCUGAGAAGAAAGCCCCGGCUAACUACGUG
rnacentral:rRNA from 1 species